CAAACACGGGCCUAACAACUGAUGUGAACUGACGUCAGAUUAAUCAGUUUAUAAGGGAAUAACAGAUCGGUUGAGAAAAGAAAAAAAUAUGUAUAUACAUUAACAAUAAUACUUAUGCACCUGCCCGUCUCGCUGGUGUUUAAAGGGAGACACCUAGCGGCUAUAAAUAUUUUCUUACUUUGAGUUGAUGACAAACAACAAACCAUAUAUUAACCGUUGGUGGAUAUUUUUUUCCACCAACGGUGGAAACCCUAAAAACAAGGUAAACAGCAAUAAAAAAAAAUACAGCUAUCGUCAAAUCACUGACUCAAAGUUGGUGUUAAAUUGAUUAAUUCUGGAAAAGAAUAUGUCUACAACACCAGGAAAAUAAGGAUGAAUACGAUUUUCAAAUCACAGACAAAAUGUGAAGAAGAACAAUAAACCCCGGGGCUUCAUUGAUUAGCAGGUCAACUGGUGACAGGUUUGAGUACUGAACUAGGGUUGAGUUAAAAAGGGGUAAAGAAGCUCCUGGCCGUGCCACUAGAGGGCGACAACAGACUGAUAGACAGGCUUGUGACGAAUGGAAACGAAAAAAGACUAUACAAUUCAAUAGGAAUUUUUGAAAACAUUCAUUCAAAAUAUGUAUUUAAUAUAUUUAAGUAAAAAAUCAAUUUUGGUUAUCUCUUACUUUAAAAGAGGUAUAAAACGCAUGUCACGUUCUAGUUACAUCAUGGUAAUAAUAUCUUGUAUCCGGUCGUAUAAGUAUGAAACAACACAAACACAAACACACCCAAACAUUCCUUGGCACUGGUGAGAUUGUGUUCACAGAUCGACUGUCCCCAUAUAAACCAACACAGCUCAGCCUACAGGUUACACCUUGGUAUAGUUUUGACAAAGUUGAACCUCUACAAUCUUCAUCAUGAUGGGACGUUGGUCUGUCGUUUUUGUGCUGGUUCUAGCUCUCCUGGUCGUUACUGACAAAGCUAAUGGCUGUGGAAACGCAAAAAAGGGAGGACAAUGUCCAGACCCUUCAGGUUUUGGGAUCUGUGUUGAAGCCUGUAGUUCUGACAGUGAUUGCACUGGUCAUGAAAAGUGCUGCUCCAAUGGAUGUGGACAUGUGUGCAUGACACCAGUCAAAGAUUAGCCUCAGUGAACCCACACAUCUGCAGAGUUGUGCUGAAAUGAUGGUGAGGGUCCAAAGAAGCUGAAGAGACAGCAUGCAGUGAAGUCUGUACCAACCACACACUGGGCAACAGUUUGUUACAAUGAAAUAAAGACGUUUGCAAAAAAAGGACA